GCGCAGGCGCAGACGGCGAAGCUCACGUUCUCAGGAAAGGGUGGUGGGGGCCCGGGGUGCGUGAGAGGCGCCUGGGCGCAGGCGCAGACGACGGGGGUCGAGUUGGGCAGGCGGUAGGGGCGACCUGGGAGAAGGUCCCUGCUGCAGACGUGGAAAUGCAUUUUGUUCCAGUACAUCACAUUCCAGGGAGCAAAGAAUUCUUUUACAAAGCCGGGUGUCAUCAUUUUCUUAGAAGAAGAACCAUUGCAACAGGGCUCAAAGUUGACUCUGCUGGAAAGGCAAGGGACAGGGAAAUGAUGAUAACAUAAGCAGCCGGCUGUGUCAUUCCUUCCAUUUAUUCUCUCAUCAAAAUUGACUAGAAGGGUGGCGUGACUCACGGAGAGAAGGAAGAUCGGUGUGGUGUGGCAGCCCACCUGAGAGCCACCGCAACCCCCUACCCCCAGCCAAGGGACGCAGUGAGUGAGCAUGCCACCCAGCCUAGGAAACUGUGCUUAUCCCACGGAAGUAUGCAACCCACGGAUCGGAAGAUCCCAGUCACGAACCCACCCCACCAGGGCCUAGCCUCCCAACCCUGGAACACGCAGAUUCUUACAUCCUCUCAGCUGGAAUCUGCUUAAGCCUGAGGAACUCCUAAUGGGAGGGGCGACUUGCACCUGCUUCAGCUGCCUGCUCUCUAAGCCUUUUAGCCUCAUGGGGGAGGGGCAGCAGCCAGUACUGGGACUCGCAACUGCCUAACAAGCUAAGCUCCAUGGGCAGGGGAAGGGUGCCACCCAUUUCUAUAGCUCCAGGCUGCGUUUUUCUGCUGGUGGAGCCAAGGAGGCUGGACAGCUUGGUCCCAAGACUUGUCCCACAGCUCAACGCAUGGGCUGUGCCAGUCUGUGGCCAGAGUGCCUCUUCAGGUCUAACCCUGACCCAUCCUUCUUCAGUGGGCGGGGCUUCCCUGCAGAAUCUCCAAUAACUCCAGCCAGAGGAUCUCCCUGGGCCUGAGCCCCCAGGGGGAGGGGUGGCCACAGUCUGCAGAUCAGCAGACUUAGCCUCUCCUCUUGGUAGUUCUGAGGAAUCUGGGCAGCCUAGACAAGUGGGCUUCCCCCAGUGAAACACACCCUCUCCACCAAGGGACAAAGUGCUUUGUUAAAUGGGUCCUGCUCCCUGUGUCACCCAACUGGGUGAGACCCUCCAGCAGGGGUUGUUAGACACCCCAUACAGGGGCAAUCCUACUGGCAUCAGGUUGGUGCCCCUUGAGGUCAGAGGUCCCAGAAGAAGGAGGAGGAAAACAUCUUGGCUGCUCUCCAGCCUUGUCGAGUGGCAUUUCCAGGCACAGGACCGAAUCAGAUGAAUAAGACCUGAAAUGAACCCCCAGCAAAUUGCAGCCACCCUACAGAAGAGGGACCUGACUAUUGAAAGAAAGUAAACAAGCAGAAAGGAACAACAACAGCAUCAACAACAACAACAACAACAAAAA
ensembl:lncRNA novel transcript